rnacentral:tRNA from 1 species
GGCAGUUACAAUGUGUCAAUUCCCGGUGUCCAUACACUUGUUACUUGGCUUGUCUGUAGGCACUGUAUUUUUGUUGUUGCAGAAGGCUUGUUUCUCAUGUCUUUUCCUUCCCUCAGCUCUGACUCCUCUGGCUCUAGCCGGUCCCCAAGGAAGGACCCCACGGGAAGGAAGGAGAAGGCAAUGGCUGCUGGGCCGUCACCACUGAGAGCACAGGUGUUUGGUUCCUUUGGGAGGAUGACACGUUCUCCUCACAUAGCUCUCUCUAUCCCGUCCCUUCUAAUGCUGCUUGUUUUUUCCACUCCCUUCGGAGGGUGUCAUUGGCGCAACCCUUCCCUUGAGCGGGAAUUUAUAGCUUCAGGAGUCGGGGAUGUUCGAGGAUAAGUCUGUGGAUUUCAUCCGGGAGGAGUGGAUCCAGCUAGACACUGCUCAGGGGAGCGAUGCUGGAGAGCUCCAGGCACCUGGCUUCGCUGGGGAAGGACGUCUCCUUGUUACUCGGACCUGCCUGCUGCCACCUCCCCGCCGUUGACGUCUUGUACAGCCUGUGAAAUUCGUGAAUUUGGGCUUGAAAUCCUGAUACUACAGGGCGUUGCUUUAGGGUGGGUCGCUUGGUGUUCUCUCUUUCAAGGAGAAAAACGUUUUCUGUAGAAAAGGGGAAAUGGGAACCUCAGAAGCCCUGAGGGGAAGCGAUGAGACACAGGCUGGGAGUGGUGCUCAAACUCAGUUCAGAACCCACAUUCAGUGUCUCUCCUUCUGAGCAGGGCACCAGCUUUCCAAACCAAAUGUGAUUUCUCAGCUGGAGCAAGAACUAAGCCUGAGGACAAAAGAACGCCCAUGGUGCCUCUCCCCGGGUAAGGAUCAGGCUGCCAGCACUUGCCCCGGGAGCGGCACCGUGGGGAGAACCACGUCAGGGCUCCCUUGGUCUCUUAAGACCUGCACCACUUGCUGUGUGUUUUCUCAGAUGCCUCCGCACUGCUGACAUCGCUCACCCUCCCGAGGUGAACGCAUUUUUUAAAAUUUAUAUAUAUGUACCGUUCAUUGUUCUUAAGAACGUUUAGAGCUUUAGCUUUUUAAACUUACAGAGUUAUCAAAGGAAUAAAGCCAACCACAAAAUAAGAAUUCACUCAAACAGAUACAUACACCCUGCUAUUAACAGCAACAUUAUUUAUAAUUGCCAAGAUAUGGAGCAUUGUAAGUGCACGUAAGUAGAUGAAUGGAUAAAGAAGAUGCAGCAUAUAUAUGUAAUGGAAUACAGCUCACCCAUAAAAAAGGAAAUUUUGCCAUUUGAAGCCCUUCAUUCACUUUUUUUUCACUUCAGAAACCAGAAUUUUAUAACUGGCACAAGCAUUUCCAUUGCCUCAGAAACAGCUACAUUUGUAGCAUUUUUUCUUAAUUUAUGUAUUUUGGGUAUGGGGAGAUAAUUACAUUUUUAUUUAUUUGUUUAUUUCUUAAUGGAGGUACUGAGGAUUGAACCCAGGACCUUGUGCGUGCUAAGCACACGCUCUACCACUGAGCUACACCCGCCCGUUCUCGUCCCUCAGUGUUUAAUCUGCAGCUGCUUCCUGUUCAGUCCCACGCUCCUCUAAGCACUGAAUGCUUGCUCUUUUGUUAUCGGCUUUCUAACCCCCCUCACAACUGGAAUUUCUCUUUUAGACAUUAUCCCUGACCUUUCUCCGCAUGGAACACCUUUAUCUUUACUACUAGACAAAGAAGUGUUGAUCACCACUUCUUUUUAUACAUUGUUUAAAUUGAAGAGAGAGGCCAAUACUUUUUGAUCUCUGGAUAGUGUACAGCUACC